UGAUGAUGAUGAUGAUGAUUAUGAUGAUGAUGAUGAUAACGAUGAAAAUCAUUAUCAUCAUCAAAUUCGAGUCAUAGAGC
rnacentral:miRNA from 1 species